rnacentral:rRNA from 1 species
CCUACGGGAGGCAGCAGUAGGGAAUCUUCCGCAAUGGACGAAUAGUUUCUGACGGAGCAACGGCCGCGUGAGUGAAGAAGGUUUUCGGAUCGUAAAACUCUGUUGUUAGGGAAGAACAAGUGCCGUUCGAAUAGGGCGGCCCUUGACGGUACCUAACCAGAAAGCCACGGCUAACUACGUGCAGCAGCCGCGGUAAUACGUAGGUGGCAAGCGUUGUCCGGAAUUAUUGGGCGUAAAGCGCGCGCAGGUGGUUUCUUAAGUCUGAUGUGAAAGCCCACGGCUCAACCGUGGAGGUCAUUGGAAACUGGGGAACUUGAGUGCAGAAGAGGAAAGUGGAAUUCCAAGUGUAGCGGUGAAAUGCGUAGAAUUUGGAGGAACCCAGUGGCGAAGGCGACUUUCUGGUCUGUAACUGACACUGAGGCGCGAAAGCGUGGGGAGCAACAGGAUUAGAUACCCUGGUAGUCCACGCCGUAAACGAUGAGUGCUAAGUGUUAGAGGGUUUCCGCCCUUUAGUGCUGCAGCUGACGCAUUAAGCACUCCGCCUGGGGAGUACGGUCAAGACUGAAACUCAAAGGAAUGACGGGGCCCGCCCAAGCCGGUGGAGCAUGUGGUUUAAUUCCGAAGCAACGCGAAGAACCUUAC